ACGCACAGAUGGUCAGCCAGAAGAAUGAGAGCUUUAUAAGACAGACAUCAUGCUGAUCCUUGGAAUCCCGUUCUCCCGGACCUCGUCAGGAGUUUUUCAUCACCAAAGUGGAUAAUAAGUCUGUCAGGCACCUCGUACAGAUCAAACAGGAGUUUGCCAAAAGGAAAUUGACACCUCAUUUGAAGAUAGCAGGGAAGAGUGGUACUACUUGAAUCCUGUUUAUCUUCAGAAGUGAUACUUUCCUCUUCCGCUGAUGGCAAAAGAUUUACGUAGAGAGAUAAAAUAAUUGGAAAAUGUAACUGAACAACCCAUACACAAUACAUCUUUAUUCACAGACCUUCCUACUUCACUGAAGAACACAGAAAGGGAUGAAAUGUUUGGUGCAGUACAGCACUUCUACUCUAAUGGAACCAAGAGCCAA